rnacentral:rRNA from 1 species
UCAUAUGCUUGUCUCAAAGAUUAAGCCAUGCAUGUCUAAGUACAUGCCGUAUUAAGGCGAAACCGCGAAUGGCUCAUUAAAUCAGUUAUGGUUCCUUAGAUCGUACCUUACUACUUGGAUAACUGUGGUAAUUCUAGAGCUAAUACAUGCAGCAGAGCUCCGACCUUCGGGGACGAGCGCUUUUAUUAGACCAAGAUCAAUCGGGCCUCGUGUCCGUGAAACGUGGUGACUCUGUAUAACUUUGAGCUGAUCGCACGGGCUCGUCCCGGCGACGUAUCUUUCAAGUGUCUGCCUUAUCAACUGUCGAUGGUAGGUUAUGUGCCUACCAUGGUCGUAACGGGUAACGGGGAAUCAGGGUUCGAUUCCGGAGAGGGAGCCUGAGAAACGGCUACCACAUCCAAGGAAGGCAGCAGGCGCGCAAAUUACCCACUCCCGGCACGGGGAGGUAGUGACGAAAAAUAACAAUACGGGACUCUUUUGAGACCCCGUAAUUGGAAUGAGUACACUCUAAAUCCUUUAACGAGGAUCCAUUGGAGGACAAGUCUGGUGCCAGCACCCGCGGUAAUUCCAGCUCCAAUAGCGUAUAUUAAAGUUGUUGCGGUUAAAAAGCUCGUAGUUGGAUCUCAGUUCCAGACGGGCGGUCCGCCUACCGGUGGUUACUGCCUGUUCUGAACAGCCAGCCGGUUUCCUUUGAUGAUCUUCACCGGUUGUCUUGGGUGACCGGCACGUUUACUUUGAAAAAAUUAGAGUGCUCAAAGCAGGCGUGACGCCUGAAUAAUGGUGCAUGGAAUAAUAGAAUAGGACCUCGGUUCUAUUUUGUUGGUCUUCGGAACACGAGGUAAUGAUUAAGAGGGACAGACGGGGGCAUUCGUAUUGCGACGCUAGAGGUGAAAUUCUUGGACCGUCGCAAGACGAACUACUGCGAAAGCAUUUGCCAAGAAUGUUUCCGUUAAUCAAGAACGAAAGUUAGAGGUUCGAAGGCGAUCAGAUACCGCCCUAGUUCUAACCAUAAACGAUGCCAGCCAGCGAUCCGGCUGUGUUCCUCAAAUGACACGCCGGGCAGCUUCCGGGAAACCAAAGCUUUUGGGUUCCGGGGGAAGUAUGGUUGCAAAGCUGAAACUUAAAGGAAUUGACGGAGGGGCACCACCAGGCAUGGAGCUUGCGGCUUAAUUUGACUCAACACGCGACAACUCAUCCGGUCCGGACGCAGGUAGGAUUGACAGAUUAAGAGCUCUUUCUUGAUUCUGCGAAAAGUGGUGCAUGGUCGUUCUUAGUUGGUGGAGCGAUUUGUCUGGUUUAUUCCGAUAACGAGCGAGACUCUAGCCUACUAAAUAGGCGUUCCGAUCA